rnacentral:tRNA from 1 species
AACAAGGUAGUUUAAUUUAAAACUUCUAUUUUACACGUAGGAAAUGACUGUGUGUCUAUUGUUA